GCAGUGAAUCACUGUUAAUGAGCGAAUCAUUGAGAUUCAACCGAUUCAUUCAAGCGGCUGAUUCAUUCAGGAAGUGUUGCUCAGAGACGCAAAACAAUUCUGUGGACGUUGGAACUGUUUUCGUUGGUGAAAUACAGCGAAACAGACGAUUUGGUGUCUAAAAUGUUGAGGCAGAAUGGCAGAUAUCAUUCCCAGGCACAAAAUAAAAGGUGUUGAUUUCUGUGGAUCACACUUCUACUGCUAUAUAAUCCGCUCUGAUCUCGGCUGCUAUAUGAGGUUGAGUGAUUUCACUGCAGGGUCAGACCUCAGUAUUCAUGAUCUGCACCCCGCCUGCCAAAAUGGAGACCAUUACUUUGCUCUCAAAUCUAAAAAGUUUUACAUCAUUAAGGGUAAUUCCUACCGCACAGUCACUGACCUGUCAGGAGACAGUAGAUCUGCAGUCUUCAGCCUUCAUCCCAACUGCCAGGGUGGAGACCACUAUCUGGCAGCCUUUGACUGGUUUUAGAUCAUCUUCCAGGAUAAGGGCACUUACAGAAGAACAAAAGACCUGAGUCAAGACUCACACUCUGAAGAAUUUCCACUGCAUGACAAUUGCAGAAAUGGUCUGUAUUACUGGGGUCUGCCAGAUCACUACUACUUCCUCAAGCCAGCCUCAGAGUGGGGAGUCGAGUACUACAGAGGGAAAGACUUCCAGGAGGACAGCUGUGUUGCUGUGUGUUCUGUCCAUCCUGAUGUUCUUAACUUCCUGCCAGGUGGGCUGUCCAUAACUAACGGCCCAGCGUUUAGAAAGUGGGAUAAUAUUCAAACUGUAAGUAAUGAGAGUCCCACACCAGUGACAAUGCAAAAGAAAGUUACAAAAAAGGUUGGAUACAAUAAGGAGAAAAUGUCCCAGAUCACACAGAACUGGAAGAUAGAAAAGUCAGCCAAGAUCACAUCUGGAAAACUUGCAAGGUUAGUUUUAAAGUGUCAGUUCUCCUUUUCAACAGAAUAUGGAGGUGCAGUUGUGAACGUUGAGAAGGAAAGCUGGAAUGAAGAGACUGAAGUGGAAGAGCAACUAUCAUUUGAGCUGAAGCUAAAGCAGUGUUUCAAUUUAUGGCAGUACCAGCUGGGUCUCGGAUCAGAACCGGUGUUGUUCUGCCGGGAUUUGAAGAUCACCGAUCAGCCGUACCGUCCGGAGCUGCCUUCCUAAACAGGUGACGCACGGACAGACUGGACAGGCACACCAAGGGCAAGAAACAGAUGACAGAAGAUGGAUGACAAGAGACUGGAUACAUGGAGUCAGGUAAGUCCACAGGUAGGUAUCAGGUAAGGAGUCCGUUCAUGUGUGAACAACGAGACCAGACACCUGAGUGCAGGUGGUGAAGGCUUAUGGGUGUGAUGGAUGACACAUCCACACAUCCUCCAUGACACAUAAAACAACAUCCAACACACAGCCAAACAGGUAAAUCCAGUGAGACAAGCAGAAGGUUAAAACCAAGACAAUGGAAACCAGGAUAAUGCUCAGAAAUGCAGUGUGACACUAAACAAGAUUUCACAGAGUGACUGAGUAAACCAGGUUUAUAUAGACAGAGUUAACAAGGUAAAUGAGACACAGCUGAAAUUAAUGAAGCAUGACGAGUCAAGGCAAAGGGUUAUGGGAAAUGUAGUCCAUGGUGAGAUAAUAAAGAUGAAAAUCAUUUCACCUUUAUGCUGAUGACAUUCAGUUUUAUCUUCCUUUGCAACAUAAAAACAAAGGGUCUUUUUUGUCUAAAUGAAUUACAGAUAUGGUUAAAACAAGUGCAAAAAAUCUAGGUGUUCUUUUUAAAUGUGCAACAUGGCUAUUGAUCAAAUAUAGAAUUGUUUUAAAUAUCCUAAUAUUUGUUUUUAAAUCGUUGAAUAACCAAGCACCUUCAGUCCUCACAGAAAUGAUCUCCACUCACAAAAUCAAACUGGUCCUUGAGAUCUAACAACUGAUUGUUUCAAUCGCUUGUUUCAGCUUCAUCGCCUGAGUUUUGAUCCGGAGAUUCUGUACUUGUAAAGUUUAGGAUGGGUUUGUUCAGCAAUGUGCUUCCAGGAUGGUGUGUCCAUUAAAACACGGUGUACUCAGUCCAUGAUCUUUACUUAACAAUUAGAAGCAUAGGAAUCAACUUAGGAUUCAAAUAGAGUUGUAUGGUGUCUAAGAACGAAAGACAAUGAAGAACAAACGAGUCUUAGAUACAAUUAACAACAUAACCCAAACAAAUCAUAUAAUCCAAUUAACUCAACACAAAGCAGUUUAGCAAUCAAAUAAGAACACUAGUACAUAUGAAUGAUAAAUCACACUCCAACAUAAAUAACUUCACGAAAUAACAUUAAAAACCAAAAGGAAUAAACUUACAUGGUCAGAAACUCUACAAGAAGAUCUCUUUGAGCAGAAGGAAAAGUGCAUGUUUUACUAAAUAAUGAUUUAGUGCACCUGAGGAGAUUUAGCUUCACCCCUGGUUGACUAUGUCAUGUGACCACCUGGGAAUUUUCAAAAUUUUAAAGUACAUUUACGCAUUACAUCGGCCCAAGCGAAUGCCCAUGCAGCCAUGAUUCAUCUAUUAACAAGCUCUGGUUCAGUGCAGCGGUCCAACAGUGCUCGUCAAUGUCAAAAUGUUUGAGAUGGCCAAUCAAAUCAAAGAAGGCGGGGUUUAAUGUUCACAGAAGUCGAACCCAAGCAGUAAUUCAGCGCAAUGCUUUUUAACGCUUGAAGAGUGUGAGGUACGAUGUAAGAAGCUGAACAUAACGAGGCUGAAAACAGCAAUUUUUGCCCACUGUUCAAAAUAAAAAUGUUUAAUAGGGUGGCCAUUUGUCCGGUUUUAUGUUGGACAGUUUAAAAAGCGCUGGAUGCAUUAGUCCUAUUAAGAUCUUCACUGUUUUGUACUUUAUCCAAUGGUAUAUAAUUAAAAAAUAAAUAGUUAAUAAAUUAAAACAUAACUAAGUUUAAGCUAAUAUUACGUGACGUACAUUUGUCAAAACUGAGUGUUUUGUUCCAGAAUAACUCCAGAGUCACAAACACUGAUCAGCACAGUGGUGUUUCGUUCCUAAAUGAUUCAGUUAUUUUUAUCAAUGAUUCACUGAUUCAUUCACAAAGAUAGUCACUUGCUCAAAAUCGGUUGAAUUACUUAAUGAAUUAAUUAAUGUCUCACUUAUUGAGACAGUGAUUUGUUCCCAUCUACUGGUGUUUUUCCAUAUUUAAAGUAGGCCUAUAAUUUCAUUUUUUCCAUAUAAGAGCGAAAACAUGAACUGUCUGGAGAUUCCAUCAAUGGCGGGAAAGCAUUCUGUUUUAAAUGAUAGGAAAUGAUGUCAAUGAUUUGGUUGAUUUGGUUAAUGGGUAUAUUAAUGUUUUGAUUUUAGACCUAUAUUUAUUUUUCUAUUUUCGUCAUAUACUGUACAUUAAUUUAUAUAGAUUUAUAUUCAUUUAUAUUAGUCAACUUUAUUUAUUUAUAUAGCGUUAAUCAUUUAUAAUCUUUUUCAUAUUAAACUUCUUAUUCCUUAUUAAUUUGCAAUCAUUGCAUCUGCUGGAUCACCAAUCAUUACUGGAUUUUGGAAAAUAAUUUCAUACAUCAAAAACAGCAUUACGAGUGAUUAUUGUUGGACCACUGCAUCUGCAGAAGAACAGCCACAGAUCUCACAGACAAGCUGAUGUUUGCACAUGUUUUAAUGUGGAUGUUGUUAGUGUCACGUACGAGUGGCUGUAAUGAGCGCACAAUGAUUUAACAACCAAACAUGCAGGAGAUCGCUGGAGGAGUCACAGGAAUAUAGCCACAUAACCACAAAUAAAAGUAAGAAAGUAUGAACGGGUGAAUUAAAUUAAAGCAGAAACUAUAUAGGGCACUAAGAACACAGGCAAAACAGCACAGAACAGUUUCACUUUCUGCAUUAGAUCUAGCCCAACAUAGUUUUCCUGACCUUUCCCCGCCCAGAACGGACAUCCUCCUAUUCUCAACAAUAACCAGAGGACACAAACAACACAAACUUGUACUUGUACUUGAGUGGAUGCUGUGAUUCAUAGAGUCAAAUCAAGUGUUCUGCUGGCAUUUGAAGACAUAGCUUUACUGAAACAGACAUUAAAAUCAUCCAAAAGUUGUUCCGAAUGAAGAAUCUCAUCAAGGAUUUGGGGGUUUAUUCUCACAGCCUGACUGAAGAUGGACAGAACAUAAUUGCAUAUAUCAUGGGAACAUGUACAGACAGCACAGUUAUCUCCUGGCUUCAGGGAGCAACCUGUCAGAUUGAAUUUCUGAAUGUUCUACUAUUUGUUCUGGAGAAUUUUGGUUCCAUUCCUGAGGAUUUGACAAGGCCUGAUGGAAGACACAUAGACAUUGUGUUUGUGGCUCAUGGCUCAAUUGUCGACCAAUUUAUGCCAGCAGGUUUCCUGGUGCCCACACCUACCAUCCGUGACACCAUUCUUUACUCUCCGUGGAACUGCAGCAUUGAUUCCAGUGCUGCAUUUGGAAUUGCUCAAGGGAACAUUCAAGUGACAAACAGAGAGUUUUACAAUACGAGCAAUAGGCUUUACUGUGAGCCGGACCCUUUGCCAGAUCACUGGAAUUGCAUGCGAGAAUCUCUCCACAACACCCCAGGGAUCCUUCUAUCCCCUGUGACCCCUGAAGAUGAAGCAUGGGCCUUUUUUCACCAGUUUUGGAUGGACAGAAGCAUGGAAAUAGAAGACCGUAUUAUUAUUCCAUAUCUUGUCCCACAAAAUAUGGUAAACGCAUUUAGACAGAUCCCCCUGUACAUGUUCAUAUUUGUGAUAUCAUUUGUACUUAUGCUCUCUGGUAAAACAGCUACUGUGCACCUGGCUGCUUGUUUGAACCGCCGUGAAGAAAGUACACUAAUGCCAGAUGAGUGGAGAACACAGUAUGCCUUCACAAGUGAUGGAACCGUUAUGACUGUGAAUAUGGUUACCGAGAUGAACUCUAGGUUAUUCAUAGCCUUAAGAUCACUGUUUGACAGUCAGGAUCGUAGAUAAAUCACCUGAACAGCAUCUGGGUCAUUCCUGAUAUGUAGAACCAUGAGUGACCCAGAGCGAGGCAGUUUAAUGUGAAAGACCAGCCCAUUUAUUCAUUUAAAGAAGUGACAGUUUAGGUCACAGUUUCUAUCAAAUCAUAUGUACUACUGACAUGUUUCAACCACAACAUAAAGAUAAAUAACAAAUUAUGUAACAUUGUGAAAAAAAAGGUUUGCAUUUAAAGAAGCAUGAAGUAUUUCAGAAAACAGAAAUAUAUAUAUAUAUAUAUAUAUAUAUAUAUAUAUAUAUCCAAUUCAAUUCAAUCCACAUUUAUUUGUAUAGCGCUUUUCACAAUACAGCUUUACAGAGAAUGCAUGUGUCUACAUUACAAUUUAGAGUGAUCUGUUGUCAAAGUUAUGUAUUUCAGAAAUAUACAUAUACAGGGGCAUCUCAAUAGAUUAGAAUAUCAUGAAAAAGUUUUUUUUUCUUCUGUAUUUCAAAAAGUAAAUCUUAAAUAUAUUCUAGAUUUAUUAGACAUGAAGUAAAAUAUU